CAGGAAAAGGAUUUAAGUCCUACCUUAAGUUUCUUCGUAACUCUAAUUACUUCACAAAACUUAAGAGCUAUUCAAAUAAGGUACAGCCUAUUUGAAACAGGAUACAACCUACAACAUUGGGUAAUGAAUUCUGCUUCAUAAUUAAGUGGGCCUAAGAGCAGCCACCUUUAAAAAAGCGUUAAAGCUUUAUUAUACUAGCUCAAUAAUUACAUUAAUCCCCCAAAACCCUUAUCUCAUACUGAGUGAUUUCAUAAUAUUAUGAAAAACCAUAUGCUAGAACUAGUAACAAGAAGAAGACCUUCUCCAAAAAUGUACGCAUAAGCCAAAAUGAACAACUCAUUGGCAUUUACCGCUUAUGAACUAACAGUAGUAACUCAACAAGAAAACUCUACUAUCCAUAACGUUAACCUUACACUAGCACAUUCCCGGAAAGAUUAAAAGGAAGGGAAGGAACUCGGCAAAUAAUAACCUCGCCUGUUUACCAAAAACAUCGCCUCCUGAAUAAUUAUAGGAGGUCCAGCCUGCCCAGUGACAAAGUUAAACGGCCGCGGUACCCUAACCGUGCAAAGGUAGCGCAAUCACUUGUUCUUUAAAUGAGGACUAGUAUGAAUGGCAUCACGAGGGUUAUACUGUCUCCCCCACCUAAUCAGUGAAACUGAUCUUCCCGUGAAGAAGCGGGAAUAGAAUUAUAAGACGAGAAGACCCCAUGGAGCUUUAAACUCAACAUCAACUGCCCUAUAAAUAACUUACUAACCACGCAGAUCUGACAGUUAGUUUUCGGUUGGGGUGACCGCGGAGUAAAACAAAACCUCCACGAUGAAAGGAAUUAACCUCCUAAUCUAAGAGCUACAGCUCUAAGAAUCAACAAAUUGACAAAAUUUGAUCCAAAUAUUUUGAUCAACGAACCAAGUUACCCUGGGGAUAACAGCGCAAUCCAUUUCAAGAGCUCAUAUCGACAAAUGGGUUUACGACCUCGAUGUUGGAUCAGGGUAUCCCAGUGGCGCAGCCGCUA
rnacentral:rRNA from 1 species